rnacentral:rRNA from 1 species
CACCGCGGUUAUACGAGAGGCCCAAGUUGACUAACACUCGGCGUAAAGAGUGGUUAAAAUACCCUUAAAACUAAAGCCGAACGCUCUCAUAACUGUUAUACGUUUUCGAGAGUAAGAAGCCCCACUACGAAAGUAGCUUUACCAACAUUGACCCCACGAAAGCUGUGAAA